rnacentral:rRNA from 1 species
GACGAACGCUGGCGGCGUGCUUAACACAUGCAAGUCGAACGGAAAGGCCCUGCUUUUGUGGGGUGCUCGAGUGGCGAACGGGUGAGUAACACGUGAGUAACCUGCCCUUGACUUUGGGAUAACUUCAGGAAACUGGGGCUAAUACCGGAUAGGAGCUCCUGCUGCAUGGUGGGGGUUGGAAAGUUUCGGCGGUUGGGGAUGGACUCGCGGCUUAUCAGCUUGUUGGUGGGGUAGUGGCUUACCAGGGCUUUGACGGGUAGCCGGCCUGAGAGGGUGACCGGCCACAUUGGGACUGAGAUACGGCCCAGACUCCUACGGGAGGCAGCAGUGGGGAAUAUUGCACAAUGGGCGGAAGCCUGAUGCAGCAACGCCGCGUGCGGGAUGACGGCCUUCGGGUUGUAAACCGCUUUCGCCUGUGACGAAGCGUGAGUGACGGUAAUGGGUAAAGAAGCACCGGCUAACUACGUGCCAGCAGCCGCGGUGAUACGUAGGGUGCGAGCGUUGUCCGGAUUUAUUGGGCGUAAAGGGCUCGUAGGUGGUUGAUCGCGUCGGAAGUGUAAUCUUGGGGCUUAACCCUGAGCGUGCUUUCGAUACGGGUUGACUUGAGGAAGGUAGGGGAGAAUGGAAUUCCUGGUGGAGCGGUGGAAUGCGCAGAUAUCAGGAGGAACACCAGUGGCGAAGGCGGUUCUCUGGGCCUUUCCUGACGCUGAGGAGCGAAAGCGUGGGGAGCGAACAGGCUUAGAUACCCUGGUAGUCCACGCUGUAAACGGUGGGUACUAGGUGUGGGGUCCAUUCCACGGGUUCCGUGCCGUAGCUAACGCUUUAAGUACCCCGCCUGGGGAGUACGGCCGCAAGGCUAAAACUCAAAGGAAUUGACGGGGCCCCGCACAAGCGGCGGAGCAUGCGGAUUAAUUCGAUGCAACGCGUAGAACCUUACCUGGGUUUGACAUGGAUCGGGAGUGCUCAGAGAUGGGUGUGCCUCUUUUGGGGUCGGUUCACAGGUGGUGCAUGGCUGUCGUCAGCUCGUGUCGUGAGAUGUUGGGUUAAGUCCCGCAACGAGCGCAACCCUUGUUCACUGUUGCCAGCACGUUAUGGUGGGGACUCAGUGGAGACCGCCGGGGUCAACUCGGAGGAAGGUGGGGAUGACGUCAAGUCAUCAUGCCCCUUAUGUCCAGGGCUUCACGCAUGCUACAAUGGCUGGUACAGAGAGUGGCGAGCCUGUGAGGGUGAGCGAAUCUCGGAAAGCCGGUCUCAGUUCGGAUUGGGGUCUGCAACUCGACCUCAUGAAGUCGGAGUCGCUAGUAAUCGCAGAUCAGCAACGCUGCGGUGAAUACGUUCCCGGG